rnacentral:lncRNA from 1 species
CUGGUCAGUAAACUCAACUGGAGGGGAGGAGAUUACACCAGCAUGUGAGUACCAAGAAGGGGACCAUCCGGAGCCAUCUUGGAGGCUGCCUACCACACCUUACUUAAAAACAGACAAGAGUCAGAAUCUCUUCACUUCAUCUGCUUUUCAUGAGAGUGAAACAGUGUUACCUGUAGCAAUACAGGGCCUCAGUCUGAUGUCGAAGAUUUUCCUGAGAUCUCCUACAGACAGAAGGAAUAUGGAAGACAUUUUCCCCAGAAUAGCAACUACAAUAAUUCUAUAAGAUGAUCUUAUCCUGCUAAGAGUAUUAACAAGAAAAAUCACUAAUAGGAAAAUUAAGAGACAUUCAUUACAAAAGUGAUUACUCAAACUCAAAUACAGUUAUCUCAUUUCUCAAAGAAAAGUCUAAAAACCCAGAGAAUUAAAAUCAGAGUUUUUGAGGCAGUUUCCAUAACUCCAUCAUUUCCAGCAGGGAGAAAAAUCAGAAGUUGCAAGUCACUCAAGGGAAAGCAGAAUUCAAGAAGUGGAUGUCACAAAGCCGACACUGAAAGUGUAAUACUUGGUACCAACCAGGUUUUUGAAGCCAUCAAUGAAGAAAACCCAGACACAGCAUUUGAACUGACACAGACACACACACCCCCCAAAACAAACUUCUAGGAGCAAAACAAAAUAAGUCCACUCUAGUUUGAAAUUUCUUAAUAAAGGGGUUAUUCGCAUAAAUUUUC